rnacentral:rRNA from 1 species
CAGUAGCCGCGGGAAUACGUAGGUGGCAAGCGUUGUCCGGAAUUAUUGGGCGUAAAGGGCUCGCAGGCGGUUUCUUAAGUCUGAUGUGAGAGCCCCCGGCUCAACCGGGGAGGGUCAUUGGAAACUGGGAAACUUGAGUGCAGAAGAGGAGAGUGGAAUUCCACGUGUGGCGGUGAAAUGCGUAGAGAUGUGGAGGAACACCAGUGGCGAAGGCGACUCUCUGGUCUGUAACUGACGCUGAGGAGCGAAAGCGUGGGGAGCGAACAGGAUUAGAUACCCCGGUAGUCCCUGUCUCUUAUAC